ACCCAGCUGUAUUCAGCUGAAUCCAGCUGUGUAAAAAUACAUAGAACAUGGUCAUAAAGGAGGAGAAGUAAUAAUGAAGCUGGCCUCACAGUGCUUGUAGUCUGUGGGCUAGUUUCAAACAAGG
rnacentral:snoRNA from 1 species